CAGUAGCCGCGGUAAUACGAAGGGUGCAAGCGUUAAUCGGAAUUACUGGGCGUAAAGCGUGCGUAGGCGGUGAGUUAAGUCUGCUGUGAAAUCCCCGGGCUCAACCUGGGAAUGGCAGUGGAUACUGGCUCGCUAGAGUGUGUCAGAGGAUGGUGGAAUUCCCGGUGUAGCGGUGAAAUGCGUAGAGAUCGGGAGGAACAUCAGUGGCGAAGGCGGCCAUCUGGGACAACACUGACGCUGAGGCACGAAAGCGCGGGGAGCAAACAGGAUUAGAUACCCCCGUAGUCCCUGUCUCUUAUAC
rnacentral:rRNA from 1 species